rnacentral:ncRNA from 1 species
GGUUCACUCUGCAUGAACAUCGAAAGAGAAUUGGGUUAAUAUUCUUGAACUGGGACAUGGUGGUGGACGACAAUGUUAGGAAAUCUGGAGAUGUCAUCGGGGGCCUGGGAAGAGUUAUUUUUUCUUUUUAACGAAUUUUCCACCCUGAAAUCAGUUCAACCGGAGAUAGGGUCCAACAUAUGGAAGAGAACCACACAUCUUGUGGUGUUUGGUGCCUGCUCAGUGGCCAUUGAAAAUAUGGAGAACUGAGUACCAUCCAUGCCUGAUCGUACUCAUAUCUGCCUUCUUGGA